UACGGGGGGGGCAAGCGUUGUUCGGAAUUACUGGGCGUAAAGGGCUCGUAGGCGGCCAACUAAGUCAGACGUGAAAUCCCUCGGCUUAACCGGGGAACUGCAUCUGAUACUGGAUGGCUUGAGUUCGGGAGAGGGAUGCGGAAUUCCAGGUGUAGCGGUGAAAUGCGUAGAUAUCUGGAGGAACACCGGUGGCGAAAGCGGCUUACUGGCACGAGACUGACGCUGAGGCUCGAAAGCGUGGGGAGCGAACGGGG
rnacentral:rRNA from 1 species